rnacentral:rRNA from 1 species
GAGCGGACUAGAGAGGAAGCUUGCUUCCUUUCUACUCAGCGGCGGACGGGUGAGUACACGUGGGUAACCUGCCCUUUAUAUUGGGAUAACAUCAGGAAACUGGUGCUAAUACCGGAUAGGAGAAUUGGUCGCAUGACCGAUUCUGGAAAGGUGGCGUAAGCUACCACUAAAGGAUGGACCCGCGGCGCAUUAGCUAGUUGGUGGGGUAACGGCCUACCAAGGCGACGAUGCGUAGCCGACCUGAGAGGGUGAUCGGCCACACUGGGACUGAGACACGGCCCAGACUCCUACGGGAGGCAGCAGUAGGGAAUCUUCGGCAAUGGGCGAAAGCCUGACCGAGCAACGCCGCGUGAGUGAAGAAGGUUUUCGGAUCGUAAAACUCUGUUGUAAGGGAAGAACAGCAGGUAGUUAAAUAAGCUACUUGUGUGACGGUACCUUAUUAGAAAGCCACGGCUAACUACGUGCCAGCAGCCGCGGUAAU